AUUGUUGCUUAAAAUGGGUUUGGUGCUUCUUUUUUCACGUUUAUUUAUUUAUUGGCUUAUGAACAAUGUUUUACGGAUCAAAUUUAAAUUGACUGGUAGUUUAAAGAAAAGGGAUUGCUCCAAUUUAUGUCUUAAUAGAUAUAUGUAUAUAUAUGUAUAUGUAUGGUGAUAUAUUUGAGUAAGUUCAUUCAUGCAGACAGCUUUCCACUUCUCUGUAUGCUGAUGUCUUAAGUGUGUUUAGGAGUCGCAGUUGAGAGAAGUGCAUGCCGAUAUCUAAAAGGGGGUUCUCUUGUCUUAUAAUCCUGUUAAUUUGUUUUUGAGUAAAUAUUUUUCUACGUUGUCUGAGAAUAAAACGCUUCUGUAUGCAGACACAUUCUUAUCUUGUUGAAGGAAACAGCUUCGUACAGUGGGUUUGGGUGGUUCUUGACUUGUUUAAUUUCUUAUUUCUUGAGAUUUAUGCCAUCUGGAAUCAUUAUUUGAUCAAAGAUCACUGUUUUUAUCAGAUGCAUCCUAAAAUUUUCUUGUUAUGGAGUUUCACUCAGUCAAAGGAAAAAGGGCUGCAUGAUUGUAUGGUAUGUUUUUUGUUCAUGGAAUCUCACGUUUUGAAGGACAAUGCGCUGGUUUUAGUUGGGGGUUCAAGUGCUUUCUUCUUGCUUCUGAUUUAGCUUUCUAUUCUUGGGCUUUGUUUGGUUCUAUAUUUGAGCAAUUUGUGCCUACCCUAUUGUUUGUUUGCAGAUACGUUGAAGCGACUUGUUUUUGGAGUCCUUCCUCAUUAAAGGAGAACAGUGAAUAUUCACGGGGGUUCUGUUGUCGUAUGUUUUUGUUUUCUUAUCCUAGAGUAUGGUUUUGUGCUACUAUUUGAGCAAUGUCUUUGUAUGCAGACACUUUCCAACUCGUCUGUAAAUGAGGUCCAACUUUGUAGUAGAACAAGCUGCUUCCAAGAGGGGGUUUGAUUAGUUAUUGGAUUAUGAUUUAAAUUCUUA